rnacentral:lncRNA from 1 species
GCCUAGGGUAAGAAAAGUGCCAAGCGAAGCUGAGGAUCAGACUAAAGCUGGAAGAUGUUUGCAGAAGAAAUAUGAGCUGGAGGAGACUCACUGAAAGCUGGAACUAGAAGGAUGCACACUGCUCAUCCAAGCCAAUUCACUUAUUUUACCAAUGAUAAAACUGAGUCUCAGAGAAGUCAUACGCUUGCCCAAAGACACAGCUUGUGGUGGAGGAGUCAACACCAGAACUCUGGUCCAGGACUGCAAAAAAACACUUAACAUGUGCUAAUAAUGAGGAUAAAAGAUACUUCAAAUUCUGGGAGUUCUAUAAUGUUUGAGCACAUAUACCAUUGAAUCCUUUUAAUAACCCAUCGCUUACACAGAUGAGGAAACCAAGGCUCAUAGAAAUAAAGUGCUUUGCCAAAAGGCACAAAACUGGUCAGUAAUAAAUCUGAUCUCCAGGUUCCCAGUCCAGAACUUUCUGCAGCACUAUCUUUUUGUUCCCUUUAACUACCAGAAGCUUUAACCCAAAAUGAGGCUUCAACUAUAAAAGCUAUUUAAGACCUUAUGGCUGCGUAUCUCUGCCCUAAGUUUUCUCUUGAUCCUUAUUUUAUAUUCUAAUGUUUAAAACUUGUUCCCCAAAUUUUUAAAGUUUGCAUUCAUUUUAUUUCAAUAAGCCACGCCAAAAUCUGUGUGUCAUAAGCUAUCUAUACGUAAAUAAAUGAACGAAUGAAUGAGCAAACAAACAAAAUCUUAAGAGGCAGAGUAACAUGGUGGAAAAAUACCAGGCUUACAUUCAAUUCAAUACCACUUUGUCUAUUGUCUUCAUCUUUGAGCCUCACUUUCAUUAUCUGUCAAACAGGUCUAACAAAAUUUAUCAUUAAGCAUUAUUAUAAGUCUAAAAAUAAACAUGGAACAUAUGAAGAAGGUUUGUAUGUUAUCAGUGGUAUCUAAAUUGGCAGCUCAUAGUAGUAUUACUAGUAAUAAUAAUAUAAACAAAGAAGCCUGAUUAAUGCAAGUGAGAUGAGUUAUUUGACUCCAGAAACCCCGCCUCCAGACAUGAGUUACGGCUCUCAUUGGGUUUUAUG